GACAGAGGGUGCAAACGUUGUUCGGAAUUACUGGGCGUAAAGGGCUCGUAGGCGGCCAACUAAGUCGGACGUGAAAUCCCCAGGCUCAACCUGGGAACUGCGUCCGAUACUGGAUGGCUUGAAUUCGGGAGAGGGAUGCAGAAUUCCAGGUGUAGCGGUGAAAUGCGUAGAUAUCUGGAGGAAUACCGGUGGCGAAGGCGGCAUCCUGGACCGACAUUGACGCUGAUGAGCGAAAGCUAGGGGAGCAAACGGG
rnacentral:rRNA from 1 species